AAGCGACCAGGCGAGGCGGCCUGCUCCCGAAAGAGAGCAAUCCGUGGACAGUGUGUAUGUCCGAAAUGGAACUGUCAUGGAGUCGCUCUCUUUCGGGCGGGGCUCGCGGUACGCUAGCGAAAAA
rnacentral:pre_miRNA from 14 species